AUGAGCUGUGGCAGCGCGGCGAAGAAGUCGGUCCUCGGUCGGUGUGUCAUCGGGUCGAAGCCCAUCUGGAUCAGCUUCUUCUUCAGGUGGGUGUUCCAGAAGUUCUUGAUCUCGUUGUCAGUCCGUCCGGGGAGGUGCUUCGCGAUGGCUGACCACCUGGUUUCAUCAGCACAACCCAGUUUGUGUGUGUUAGCAAGAGCACCACAUAUAUAUGUUUUUGAAGAUUAUACAACACAUGUAGACCAUUCUCGAAGAUUAAUAAGCAAGAGAUUUGAUAGGUAUGCCAUACUUGUUGCCAAGGACGGAGUGGAGCUGGAGGAUGGUCUGCUCUUCCUCGGGUGUGAACUUUCCUCUCUUGAUAUCUGGCCUCAGGUAGUUGGUCCAUCUCAGUCUGCAGCUCUUGCCACACCUGUUGAGUCCUGUGAGAUGCACAGAAGAACCAGACGCAUGAGCUACAUUUCGGAUCAAAGCUAG
rnacentral:rRNA from 1 species